GGAGCCGUGGUUUAGUUUGUUAAAGUGUCUGUCUAGUAAACAGGAGAUCACGAGUUUGUAUCUCGUCGGUGUCU